AGCUCAAUCAGGCUCUCACAGGCUAAAGUCAAGAAAACAGGUCUAACAGUACUACCAACCCCUAGUCACGUGACCUCGGCACAAUCGGAUAUCGGAACGAUCAAAUCCGGGUCUGCCGUCAACCACUACCGCACCCACUAAUCGGAACACUGUAAACACUACUAUAAAAAUCGGCUCGGCAUCCUAGCACGAGCGUAACUGAAAUCUGAACUACCUGGGAUACUCACUAUAAGGAUACUGCAACAGUAUAAAAAUACAACGGCCCCCAGGGCUAAAUCAGGUAGUUCAACAUAUGCCAGGUCCCGAACGCUAGUUUUCUCCUAUGUUUUAUCCAAGUCCCACAUGCAUGAUUAAUAACAACUAAUAACAUGCUCCCAAUUCAGUUUAUAUGUCUAAAACAUAUCUACUCAUGAAUUUGAGCUAAACAAUAACAACUUGUACUAUUAACGAUACAUAUCGACCAACAAUACUAUAGGAGUAGGAUUCCGAUGAUAAACCCACCUUGAAUGCUAGCUAGUCCACCCCGGCGGGACAUCGAGAACGGCGAAACCACGCCCUCGCCCGGACUCCUCGCGAUGCUACGACUGCGACCGUAUCCUCGAACGGCUCCGCGGCGCGACGUCGACGUCGAAUCCGAGCUCCGCGGCUACUCCCCCGAGCUCCACCUCGCACAACUCAAGAGCACGAGAGAGAGAAAGUUAGAAAGUGCACACCUCAGCUAAUUACCAUGAUAAGCAUGAAGGAGUAGGUGUGGCAUCCUUAUCCACACUCAAAAGUCAAGUCUACCCUUUACCAACUCAACAUGACAAACAAGGAUACUAUAUCCUCCCCCACUACAAAAAGUUUCGUCCUCGAAACUUAAAACAUACCUCAAGACGGGGCAACGAACAGGUCGGGAUAGGACUCCCUCAUCACCGUCUCUGGCUCCCAAGUCGCCUCCCGCUUCUCGUGAUUGCUCCACUGCACUUUUACAUACGGGAUGACCCGGUUGCGCAAUUCUUUCGUCUCGUGAGCAAGAAUCCGCACCGGUCGCUCCUCGUAUCUCAGGUCCUCGCCAAUCUCGAGUGGAGUGAAGUCGAUCAUGUGAGAAGGAUCAAAAACAUAUCUCCUCAACGCCGAGACGUGGAACACAUCAUGAAUCCCAAUUAGUCGGGGUGGUAGAGCAAUCCUAUAAGCAACAGGCCCAACUCGCUCUAAUACCUCAAAAGGGCCAACGAAACGUGGACUAAGUUUUCCACGUACUCCAAACCGACGAAUCCCUCUGGACGACGAGACUUUAAGAAAAAUAUGAUCUCCAACCUGGAACUCUAAGUCUCGUCUCCUGGUAUCAGCGUAGCUCCUCUGGCGGCUCUGGGCUGUCAAAAGGUGUCGUCGAACAACUCUAACAUUUUCCUCAGCCUCUAGCAAAAUCUCAUGCCCAAGUGUCCUCCUCUCACCCACAUCACUCCAAAACAACGGGGAUCGACACCUGCGUCCAUACAACGCCUCAAACGGAGCAAUCUGAAUGCUCGUUUGAUAGCUGUUGUUAUACGCAAACUCUGCCAGUCUCAAGUGUCGAUACCACCCUCCUCCGAAGUCCAGGACACACGCCCUCAACAUGUCCUCUAAAGUCUGAAUGGUCCGCUCCGACUGACCAUCUGUCUGUGGGUGGAAUGCUGUGCUGAACUGCAGCUGAGUCCCCAAAGCUGUCUGCAAACUCCUCCAGAAGUGUGAUACAAACCUCGGAUCCCUAUUAGAUAUGAUCGAAAUCGGCACGCCAUGCAGCCUAACAAUCUCAUCCAGAUAUAGCUGUGCAAGUCUCUCUCUGGACCAAGUGGUCUGAACUGGUAAGAAGUGAGCAGACUUGGUCAGUCUGUUCACUAUCACUCAAAUCGCAUCGUAGCCACCCUGCGCUCUAGGCAAUCCCACGAUGAAAUCCAUAGUGGUUUGUUCCCAUUUCCACUCGGGCGAUUUGUUCCCAUUUCCACUCGGGCACUGACAGACUCUGAAGCUUGCCAGCAGGUACCUGAUGCUCGGCUUUUACCUGUUGACAAGUCAGACACUGAGCUACAAAUCUGCCAAUGUCCCUCUUCAUCCCAUUCCACCAAAACUGUGCCUUCAAAUCCUUAUACAUCUUGGUUCCUCCAGGGUAAACCGUAUAAGGUGUACAAUGAGCCUCUCUCAAAAUGUCCUCUCGGAUCCCUAAAUUCGUAGGCACACACAGUCGGUCCCUGUACCACAGUACUGCCGAACUGUCCAAAGAAAAACCCUCGGCCUGUCCCCUAACUAGCUGCUCUCAAAUCCUCAACAAAUGCGGAUCUCCACUCUGUUUCUCCCGGAUCCUAUCCAACAAAGUGGGCUGCAAGACCAGAAACAUCAGUCUUGCAGUAGACCCAGGGGACACCACCUCAAGCCUCAGCCGCUGUAGCUCUUCAAGUAGCGGUCUCUGCUGAGUGAUCAACAAGCUCAAGCUCUGCGCUGCCCUCCUGCUCAACGCAUCUACCACUACAUUCGCCCUGCCGGAAUGAUACUGAAUACUAAUGUCAUAGUCCUUCAGUAGCUCUAGCCACCGGCGCUACCUCGAUUCAAUUCCUUUUGAGUGAACAGAUACUUGAGACUUUUAUGAUCGGUGAAAACCUCGCAGUGCUCCCCGUACAAGUAAUGCAGCUACAACUUCAAAGUAAAGACUACUGCGGCAAGCUCCAAGUUAUGAGUAGGGUAAUUCUUCUCAUAAUCCUUUAACUGCCGUGAAGCAUAAGCAAUCACCCUACCAUGCUGCAUCAGCACACAACCCAGUCUAUUGUGCGAUGAAUCACUAUAGAUCACAAAUCCUUCCCCUAUCACAGGAAGGGCAAGGAUAGGAGCUGUCAUCAAUCUCUGUCUCAACUCGUCGAAGCUCCUCUGGCAAUCCUCACACCAAACAAAUCGAAUCCCCUUCCGUGUCAACCUGGUAAGGGGUGUGGAAAGCUUCGCAAAGCCCUCCACAAACCGACAGUAAUAUCCUGCUAGUCCUAGAAAACUCCGCAACUCAGUCACCGUCGUCGGUCUGGGCCAAUCCCGAAUAGCAUCAAUCUUCUUCGGGUCGACUGCUACUCCCUCUGCUAAUAUCACGUGGCCCAAUAAAGCGAUCUCCUGUAACCAGAACUCGCACUUCUUUAACUUGGCAUACAACUUCUUCUCUCUCAGAAGCUAUAGCACAGUCCUCAAGUGCUCCUUAUGCUCGACAUCGCUCCAGGAGUAUAUCAAGAUAUCAUCUAUGAAGACUACCACAAAUCUAUCCAAGAACGGCUUGAACACUCUGUUCAUCAAAUCCAUGAAUGCGGCAGGGGCAUUCGUCAAUCCAAAAGGCAUGACCGUAAACUCAUAAUGCCCGUACCGAGUCCGAAAAGCCGUCUUGGGAACAUCCUUGGCCUUCACCCUCAGCUGGUGGUAACCUGACUGGAGAUCAAUCUUCGAGAAGACACAAGAUCCUUGCAGCUGAUCAAACAGGUCAUCAAUGCGCGGCAAAGGAUACUUGUUCUUGAUGGUCACUUUAUUCAGCUCCAGAUAAUCUACGCACAACCUGAGCGAACCAUCCUUCUUCUUUACAAAUAACACCGGCGCUCCCUAAGGCGAAACACUGGGUCUCACAUACCCCUUAUCCAUCAGAUCCUGAAGCUGCGCCUUUAGCUCUCUCAGCUCAGCCGGUGCCAUCCGAUAAAGUACCUUUGAGAUUGGUGCAGUUCCAGAAACUACAUCAAUCACAAACUCAAUCUCCCUCUCCGGCGACAUCGUUGUCAACUCAGGGGGAAACACAUCUGGAAACUCACGGACCACAGGAAUAUUCUCGAGUCCCGGCGCCGCCGUAGGUACCUCAACAACAGUCGCCAGAAAGGCAACACAUCCUCUACUCAUCAGCUGUCGAGCCCUCGUCGAAGAUAUCCAAGUGACAAACAGCGUACUCCUGCAGCCUCGAAAAGUAAACUCCUCCUGGCCUAGCUCGCGGAACGUUACUGUCCUCGCUCCACAAUCGAUAGUAGCAUAGUACCGCGCCAGCCAAUCCAUACCGAGCACGACGUCGAAGUCCUACAGCUGUCCUAACACCAACAAGUCUGCGGGCAUGAUCCACGAGUCUAACUGCACAGAACACGACCAACAACACUCUGCAACCUGUAAAAUAUGGUCCGUGAUCUGCACCUCUCGUGCCUGUGACAAUACUCCUAACUCUAGACCAUGCAACAAUGCAAAUGCUCGGCUAACAAAAAAUGCAAGACACCGGUAUCAAAAAGGGUACGAGCUCUAAUACCAGAAAUCAAAAUAAUACCUGCCACCACUCAGUGGGCUGCUGAAGAAUCCUCCACCUGUGCUGCAUAAAUCCUGCCACUCGGAGCCUGCUGUCGCCGCUCGCCCUGACGCGGCAUAGACGAUUUGUCCUCCUGGCGGAAACUCGGUGCUGCUCCAAAGGACGGCUGAGAUGCCGGCUGUGCUGAUGCAGUGGAUAGUGCUGGUGAUGCUGCACGGGGACAAACUGACCUCAUAUGUCCGGGCUGACCGCAACCAUAACACCUGCCCUCUCUCUGCUCGCACUGCCGGGCCCAGUGUGGUCCCCCACAUAUCACGCACGGUGGUAAACCCUGUGACUGCCUCUGCUGCCGAGAUCCCCCAGAACGCUGACGCCCCGAGAACCCACGACUCUGAGAACGCGAUCGUGGAGGUCUCGGCGGACGCCGGCUGCUCGACUGUCCACCAUCAUCUGGAGCUGGGCGCUUCCUAUCCUGACUCUGCCCCACGGCCUGAGUCCUCUCCUGCAGUGACACCUCACCUCUCUCCACCCACAAGGCCUGCUCUAUGGACGCAUCCAGAGUCCUCGACCUCUGCGUCCGCCCCAACCUGAAGAUGUCGGGUCACAGCCCCUGCUCAAACAGAUAGACCCCGUGUGCCUCGUCCCUGGCCACAAAUGGCACAUAGUUCAGGAGUCGAGUAAACUCCCGAAUGUACUCCUGCACUGGACGAUCCCCCUGCUGAAUCCUCUUCAAAUCUUCCUCGAGCUUCUGUUUCACACUGUUGGGAAAGAACAUCCCAAACAGCAUUCCACAGAACUCAUCCCAUCUCAACUGCAACGCUACCAGUCCCUGCUCUCUCCUCACUCUCCUCCACCAGACGUGGGCAUCACCUGCAAAGCAAUGGACUCCCAAAGACACCUGCUCCCCCUCAGGAAUGAACAGAUCCUCAAAUAACCUCUCCAUCGCACUGACCCAUCCCUCAACAACCCAGGCCUCAGUGCAACUGCCAUCGAAAAUCGAUGGAUCAAAACGGCGGAAAUGAGCCAACCUCUCCGUCCACCGCUCCUGCUCGGCCUCUAUCAACUGUACUGGCUCCCUAGCAGGCACAACCGGCGCUACUGGAACUGCUGUUGGCGGAGGGACUGCUGCAGCUGGUGCUGUCACUAGGGUAGUCGGAGGUAGAACAGACGACUCUGGUGCCCUCGGUGCUGAACUCUGGGCCGAAGCUAGCCUCUCGCACAUUCUCUCCAACAACUCCCCCUGCCGCCUCGUCACCUCUGUCAGGGCGGCUAACUGUGCACUCAAGUCCGGGGAUGUACUCGUCUCCGGUCGAACACUCUGCUCCCGUUGGGCACUCGGCUCCGCAUGCUCAGGCAUCUCGGAAGGUCCCGCACGAUCCUGCGACAACUGGGUACGCUCCCGUAACGACGGUCGACCUCGGCGACGAUACAUAACUGAAAGGAACAGAUCGGGAUCAGAUGAAACAUAAACACUCUCAACCUAAUCAACUAAAGUCUGGAAGGCGGUCCCUGUUUUUCUCCAAAAUUAUAUUGUCUGCAGCAAACAUAAUUUCUCAGACCAAAACAGGCACUCCUUCAAUCACUCACCCCACUCAAGGAGGAAUUAGAACAAUUAAUCAUUGACUUUCACAAUAAAUUACGCUUCUCGCGUCUUGCCGUCCUAAGAUUUGACAAACUUAAGUUUUCUAGGUCCCAACGACCUAAUGCUGAGCUCUGAUACCAACUUAAUCUGUCACGCCCCGGAUUACACAAUUUCCGAGCACGUCGACAAAUCCGCCGAAUACAAAGAAUUUUUCCUGUAUACGAAGCGUAUCGGUAACUGAAAAUAUACAAUACUACAACCAGUAGUAUAGAGCUGUAAAGAAACCAAACAGGUAGAAUAAAACAAGUCUCACAUACAUACAACAAAACGCUAUACAAAGGUACUCGCUCCAGCGAGUUAUAACAACUGUAUGUACAUGAACUCAACAAAAUAAACCGGAACUACCUGCAGUGGUAGAUCCUCUAUCUCAGCAACUCGUCGGGUAGGGCUCUAACUCGCGACGCCCUUGCCUCGAUCAGCCUCGGAAGGCGCAGCAACUGAAACCAGUGGCUCUACAAAACAGUGGUAACAACUGGGCGUGAGAACUACUGCAAAAAUAAGUAAUCCUCAGUGAGUACUGCCCUCAACAUCAUCGGUCCACCCACUAAGACUACAGUCAGAAACAAACUAGUAGUUAAAGGUGGAAAAAAAUCUACAGCUACCUGCCACUACACUAUCCAACUGUAGUAACUGUCAAAUCUGACCCAAUCUCAAUAGAGACUGUGAACACAGCCGUCCCGGAGACUGUGAACGCACCUGUCCCGCCUGUUUAAGCUACGCUACCUCCACGCAAAACAGUCCGUCGAUAGCAAAACUAGUCAGUAACAUCAACGCGAAAGCACAAAGCCAAACUCAGGAGCGGCACUCGUGGGCGCGACCCAACCGAAUAUGCAAGCGUAUAUCUGUCGAGCUCAAUCAGGCUCUCACAGGCUAAAGUCAAGAAAACAGGUCUAACAGCACUACCAACCCCUAGUCACGUGCCAUCGGCACAAUCGGAUAUUGGAACGAUCAAAUCCGGGUCCGCCGUCAACCACUACGGCACCCACUAAUCCGAAACACUAUAAACACUACUAUAAAAAUCGGCUCGGCAUCCUAGCACGAGCGUAACUGAAAUCUGAACUACCUGGGAUACUCACUAUGAGGAUACUGCAACAGUAUAAAAAUACAACGGCCCCUAGGGCUAAAUCAGGUAGUUCAACAUAUGCCAAGUCCCGAACGCUGGUUUUCUCCUAUGCUUUAUCCAAGUCCCACAUGCAUGAUUAAUAACAACUAAUAACAUGCUUCCAAUUCAGUUUAUAUGUCUAAAAUAUAUCUACUCAUGAAUUUGAGCCAAACAAUAACAACUUGUAAUAUUAACGAUACAUGUCGACCAACAAUACUAUAGGAGUAGGAUUCCAAUGAUAAACCCACCUUGAAUGCUAAGUCCACCCCGGCGCGACGUCGAGAACGGCGAAACCACACCCUCGCCCGGACUCCUCGCGAUGCUACGACUGCGACCGUAUCCUCGAACGGCUCCGAGGCGCGACGUCGACGUCGAAUCCGAGCUCCGCGGCUAUUCCCCUUAGCUCCACCUUGCACAACUCAAGAGCACGAGAGAGAGAAAGUUAGAAAGUGCACACCUCAGCUAAUUACCA
rnacentral:lncRNA from 1 species